rnacentral:rRNA from 1 species
CACGUAGGGGGCAAGCGUUGUCCGGAUUUAUUGGGCGUAAAGAGCUCGUAGGCGGCUCAGUAAGUCAGGUGUGAAACCUCCAGGCUCAACCUGGAGACGCCACCUGAUACUGCUGUGGCUAGAGUCCGGUAGGGGAGCGUGGAAUUCCUGGUGUAGCGGUGAAAUGCGCAGAUAUCAGGAGGAACACCAAUGGCGAAGGCAGCACUCUGGGACGUGACUGACGCUGAGACGCGAAAGCGUGGGGAGCAAACAGG